rnacentral:rRNA from 1 species
UUUGNUGUACAAAGGUAGCAUAAUCRUUAGUUUUUUAAUUGAAAACUUGUAUGAAUGGUUGAAUGAGAAAUUAACUUUUUUAAAAAAAUAAUUGAAUUUUACUUUUUAAUUAAAAGGUUAAAAUAAAUUUAAAAGACGAGAAGACCCUAUAGAGUUUUAUAAUUUUUAUUUAAUAUUUAAAAAGAUUAAUUAAAAUUUUAUAAAAGAAAAUAUUUUGUUGGGGUGAUAAUAAAAUUUAAAUAACUUUUAUUUUUUUUUUACAUUAAUAUAUGAAUUUAUGAUCCAUUAUUGAUGAUUAGAAAUUUAAAUUACCUUAGGGAUAACAGCGUAAUUUUUUUUAAAAGUUCAUAUUAAUAAAAAAUUUUGCGA